GAUGAACGCUGGCGGCGUGCCUAAUACAUGCAAGUCGAGCGAACGGACGAGAGGCUUGCUUCUCUGAUGUUAGCGGCGGACGGGUGAGUAACACGUGGAUAACCUACCUAUAAGACUGGGAUAACUUCGGGAAACCGGAGCUAAUACCGGAUAAUAUUUUGAACCGCAUGGUUCAAAAGUGAAAGACGGUCUUACUGUCACUUAUAGAUGGAUCCGCGCUGCAUUAGCUAGUUGGUAAGGUAACGGCUUACCAAGGCAACGAUGCAUAGCCGACCUGAGAGGGGGAUAGGCCACACUGGAACGGAGACACGGACCAGACUCCUAAGGGAGGCAGCAGUAGGGAAUCUUACGCAAUGGGCGAAAGCCUGACGGAGCAACGCCGCGUGAGUGAUGAAGGUCUUCGGAUCGUAAAACUCUGUUAUUAGGGAAGAACAUAUGUGUAAGUAACUGUGCACAUCUUGACGGUACCUAAUCAGAAAGCCACGGCUAACUACGUG
rnacentral:rRNA from 1 species